UUUCAUCACAGCAAAGUGUCGCUGUGAUUAAAGAAAAUGUGAGUCAUUUUCUGAAUGGAAAGUUGUAUAAAGUUUUCCGUUUGAAGCAUGGCAUACCUGAAGAAUUCGCUAAUUCAGUGAAGUCCGCAAUGAAGUGCAAUGAGCAGUAUGAUCUCUAUAGAAAUAACUCUCUGCAUUUUGCACUGAGGCUGCUGAAGCUACAAGCUAAACCUCUUCCAGAAAGGAAUACUUCAAGUGGCUCUAAAGUCACCAAAGCCUCUGGAUUAUAAAUACAAAACGAUGUUGAAAUGGCAUGAAUGGAUGAUGAAGAGGGGCAAUCUUUGUUAAAGAAAUCUUGACGUCAUUUGAAAAUGUUAAACAUUUAAAUGCAGUUAUAAUUGGUUAUCUAGAACUUAUAAUUACUCCUCUUUUUCACUGGCCAGUGUGUGGUAUGUUGUAUAAAAACACAAAUUCUGCAAUUAACUAAUUUUGUAGAGCAUGCAGUAUAAAAUGUGCCAUGUACUAUCUACUUAAUUAACAAUAUUAAAGGUAAUACUUGUCAGUA